rnacentral:tRNA from 1 species
UCCGAAGUAGCUCAGUGGUAGAGCAAUCGGCUGUUAACCGAUCGGUCGUAGGUUCGAGUCCUACUUUCGGAG